GCAAAUACGCAGAUAGGGAAGAGUAGAUAACCGGAUGGAUGCAGAGAGCCGGCGGCUGGUGAAAGCCGGUGACGGAUGGUUGUUGAACUGGCCCUGGAGUAGCCUGCCCCAACGAGGAAGGACCGCCGGAAACGGGGGACCGGGAACCAGUAGGACGGGACGGAGACCUUACCGUUAUAAGAGGAUUAAGUGCAUGCGUCAGACAGCAUGAACCAGAGUGGUACCGCGCGGGGAUUUUUAAGCCUUGCGUCUCUAGC
rnacentral:ncRNA from 1 species